rnacentral:rRNA from 1 species
GUGGGGAAUCUUAGACAAUGGGGGCAACCCUGAUCUAGCCAUGCCGCGUGAGUGAUGAAGGCCUUAGGGUUGUAAAGCUCUUUCAGUGGGGAAGAUAAUGACGGUACCCACAGAAGAAGCCCCGGCUAACUCCGUGCCAGCAGCCGCGGUAAUACGGAGGGGGCUAGCGUUGUUCGGAAUUACUGGGCGUAAAGCGCACGUAGGCGGAUCGGAAAGUUGGGGGUGAAAUCCCAGGGCUAAACCCUGGAACUGCCUUCAAAACUAUCGGUCUGGAGUCCGAGAGAGGUGAGUGGAAUUCCGAGUGUAGAGGUGAAAUUCGUAGAUAUUCGGAGGAACACCAGUGGCGAAGGCGGCUCACUGGCUCGGUACUGACGCUGAGGUGCGAAAGCGUGGGGAGCAAACAGGAUUAGAUACCCGAGUAGUCC